rnacentral:lncRNA from 1 species
UGGUAUUUAUACGCACACAGAUAAUCCGCAAGCGCACGGAUACCGUUGAAGCUUUUACCCGGUUAAAGGUUUUACCGUAUCCACAGGGAAACGGGAGAACCAACUACGCUCUAACUUAACCAAGAUAAAUAGAUAAGUGUAAAUAGGAAAGAUGGUAGAAUUGAAUAAGAACAAUAUUAAAGGUAAGAUAGCAAUGGGUGAUAAUAUGGGAAUAGAGAAUAGAGCAAUUCUAGUAUAUGGGCGAUGGUAGCAGAAUAGAGAGGAUAACUAUGGUUUCUCUACUUCAAAGGGGUAUGUCUAUGUCUGAGACGAACCACGUGAUAAGAUUACACCACAAAGGAUGCUUAUCCAUAGGCCGAUAAACCCUACCCAUCCUGCUAACGAGAGGUAGACUACAGAGGACCAACGUAACUGUCACCUACGCGGCCUACCACACGAUCCAGCUAGACAGGGGAUAUCCACAAGUAAUCUAGAUCUAAGCACCACGCUUACACCUAUACUACAACUCUCACCUAUAGCGUCCUAUAGAUUAAAGUACUCAAAAGAGCUGUGAACCAUAACAUACAUAAUUAGUAAUUGCAUAAUGAAUUAGAAGUAGAUUACCAGAGUCAUCCCAUGAGCAAGCUUGAUUAGAGCUUGAUCAUGACGAAGUACAACCGGAGGAAGAACCGACAGGCCGGCCUCUCCUCUAAUCCUCCUUCGCUCUCCAUCUUGCUACUAUCCAGAUCUACUCUAGUUUACAGAAGAGAGGAGAGCUCUCAUCUCUAAACCCUAGCUUUUGCUCUAUCUAUGAAUAAUGAAUAAUGAUCAAGGGGUGCCUCCUCCAGGGGCCAGGGGGUCUGGUUAUAUAGUCUUUUCAGAUGAAUCUGGGCCGUCGGAUCAAACCGACAUUGAUCGUGUGGUUUUCCUUGAAGUAUUAGGUCGGUGGAGCAUGAUCCGCGAAGUUGAAGCUGAUUGGUUACUGUAGCUGGGCGGGCACCCAAGGGACUUGGGCGGGCGCCCUGCCCCCGGGCCCGAUCGGCCUCCCGUUCGUUCCCGUGGCUUCUGGAGUCUUCUAGAUGGUAGAAAAUUGCGCGGCACGUUAAUAUCUCUAUGUAAACCCGACGUGUGGGCCUUUCUUUCAUAUUUCCUGAUAACCCCCUGCAGAAAUAGACAAACACCAAAACUCGAGGAAUUCUGUCAGAUAAAACCCUAAGUUUAGAUGUUGGUUGUAUUUGGAUCCUUUUCUUUAUUUAUUUGAUAAUUAAAUUUGAUACUUAAGGAACAGCAACAAACUCCCCCAAGCUUACCUCUUGCUCAUCCCUGAGCAAGGAUAGACUCAGCAAUGGAUCAGAAGUUGUUGCAAUAUCUUAAAAAUUUGACGGUACACAUGCUUUUAAAUAAGAUCUCAUCUCUGAGUUAGAGUAAACUGUCAAGAACUAAAACUUACUUACUUUACCUUUCACCAUGGGACUUGUAACCAUCACUUCUGUCUUGAGUAGUUAAAAGAUAGAACAGUCUAGCCAAGUGUCAUGUCUCUUAUUCUUGAUCAGCUAUAGCUCUGGAGUUUUUGCAGAUUUUCAAAUAAAACUCAGAGAUUCCUUGUAUGACUCUCUAAAUCUCUCUUUUGUGGUAUUUCUGGAUCCUUACCAAGGCAGUGAUGGUAUAUGCCUUCUCUCAAGAUAUGUGGUAUUUGUGGUAUAAGGCAUUGUGACAUUGCCUUCUCUCUCACCCUACUCUAAUAUGGCUUUAAUAUCUGGAGCUCAUAGGUGGGAGAUAAAGUAUACAUACUUACAAGACAUUUAUUGUAUAGUCAAACCAUGGAUCCAAGGAAACAAAUCAAUAAGUCAAAUCAAGAUGUGCAUGUGUGGCGAAUGAAUGGUGUAUGGUGAUGAUGGUGAUAACAAUGGUGAAAGUCUAAUUCUACUUUUGCUCUUUUGAGGGGAUACAUACCUUCUUUGCUUUUUGAAACUUUAUGAGGAUAAUGAGAUGCUCUAUCUUUCAUUUUUCUUUCCUCUCAGGUGGUAUCCUGUACCCAUAAUUCUACUGUCGGACACUUGUCCAUUUUUACCUCUCGUCUCACUCUUUUUUCUUUUCUUUCGAGGUUCCGGACACUUGCCCCUUUUUAUUUCCUCGUUUAUUUAUUUUUUUUCUCUUUUCUUCUCUUUCUUUUUUUUUCAGAGCACUCAUCUCUUGAGAUAAUAUAGCAAGUGGUAGUAGCAAGAUAACUUGAGCAUUUAUUUCACAAGGGAAAACAGAAAUAUUUUUGGCUAUUCUCUCCCGGAUUAGGAGUAGAAUAUUUUUGGGUGGUUCUGGAGAUGGAAAUGAGUGGAUAUAUGUGGAUGGUACUUCUGGAGUAGAAGUAGCAUAUAUGAGUGAAUGUGCAAGUGAAAUCUUGAUUUAACCACAUGACAAGCUCCUAAGGGUCUACACAGCUUGACCACACUCAAUGCUCAUAAGCAGUAAAUAGUAAAUGUGUGGCUCAAAGUCUAGCAAGCAUGUACAUAUGGCUGUGGUAGGAAUUUAAACUCUCAUCAUACAGGAACUCAUCAUGCAAUAUUUUAAAGAUUUUUUCAAAGAUAAAAUUCUCCAGAAUUCUAGCAUCUCUAGAAACAGAUAAACAGCAGCUCAACCUUCCCAUAUCAUAUCCGUUAACAACUUAGAUAUUAGAUCAAGUUUUCAUCCCACAAGUUUAGAUCUAGAGCAAGCUUUAAAUUAUAACAGUUAUGUCUAAACUUGAGAGAGAACUUCAAAUUUGCAAAUUAGGCAGAGCAACUAUUCAUCAUAUCCAUGCUAGAGUUUUAUUAUUAAGAUUCAGAUUAGCAUAGCCACUUUAUUUAUUUAUUAAACACACUAAGCAAAAGAUAUAUAUAAGCACAAAAUGUUUAUUUGGUUUUUCAUAGUUUAUGUAUUUUAAUAUUCUAAUAUAAUAUAAGUAUAAAGAUAGAUAGAAAUACUUAGCGAGAUAAAUGGGAGUGGUCUCCCCCAAGCUGAAUUUUGACGUAAUUUCUCUUGAUGUAGCUAGCAGGUGGCAGAGGUGUAUUUGAAAGUCAGCAGCAUUCUGACAGCGAUUAGAAUGUCCUCCGUCUGCUAGUCUUCUUGAUUCUUAAAUUCUGUGGAGCUCAAAUAGACAACAAAGCUUGUCGAAAUAAUUAAGUGUUAGCAUAAAUAUCUAGCCUUCAUCAUGUUGAGCUUCCUCAAUAAAUAUUACUCCCUGUUUUUAUAUUUUUCUUUUAUAAAGCAGAAAAAAAUAUUUAUUUUAUUUUUAUGCCACCACAGUGAAGGUACUUAUGGGUUUUACGCCACUCGUAUACUCACAUGGGGCUUAGUAUUUUUUAAAAAUUUUAUUUUCUUUUCAGGAUAGCAUGAUUAACUAAUAAUCUAUUUAAGGAAAGUAAAUAAUUAAAGGGAAAAGGGAAUGCAAAAAGGAUAAAUAUGGAUAACUACCGAUCUUAUCUUUCGGCGAGGGUUCAAUGUUUUAAGUCUUCUUAACAAGACUUCUCACCGUGUUCAUUCUUCAGGUGCGUCAUUUGAUUCAGGUGCGGACCUUGACGUCUGCACCUCUUGAUACGGUGUCACCCAUGUUCUUCGUUUGCCCAGCAGUUCAAAGUGCGGCGUUGGCAGUAACCUGCUCAGUGUGUUUGUGCUCGUAGAUCCAGGUCCUUCACUUGGUAGAGUCUGAGAGUUAUAAAACUCCUCCGUGUUUUGCUCAAAGUGUACCUGCUCAUAGAGACAAGGCAGAGAUCAAGUGCAUGGGUCCUGUUGGUGGAAAACACCAACAGAACCUAAAGUGUAUUUGUUCUUCUCUAACCCUAAGCAUAGUGAGCAAGACAAAGUUGAUGGAUGAAAAGUUCAUGAGUGUAGCACUUAUAACAUUUGUCAGAUCAGAUCGCUCAACCUUAUGGAAAGAUAAUCUAUCUAUGUAUAUGUCUUUUUCUUUAUAUCUCUCAAAGAUUGAAUGUGUAACAUUUUAGCUCAUAUGAUUAGGAGUGUGGGAUCACAAAAGUAGAAGG